ensembl:lncRNA
GCUUUUCGUUUUGCUGCCCGUUCAUUUCGCUUGGCAAAAGGCUGGUUAUAGAAGCGGGGGGACGUCGCAGCUGUCGUGUUUGCGGUUUGCCUCGCCGCAAUCAGGCUCGCGCUCGCGGGGCCGUGAUUGCGGUAGCCUCCGCCUCAUUUGCAUUGAUGAGGCCGUGGUAGCGGACGGGGCGCAGCGCAGCGCCCGACUCAAUCACAGCGCUCGGCAUGAGCACGGGGAGCCGGGCAUCCGCCGCGCGGCGCCUCAGCCCACCCCGCGUUACGGCCGCUCCUGCGAAAUGGUCCGAACGAGCAACUCCGAAGAUGCGUGUUAAUUGAGGGGCCGGCAUUUCCUUGCGCUCUACUUAUUGGAUAUAACGAUGAUGUGCUCUUCAGUCCCCCAGGAUCCCCCCAAACCGUCCUACCUGGAGUCCUUGAUACUUUUAGGACGGGCAAGAAGAUUUGUGUUCCAUAUCCCAAAGGGUUGCUCUCUCCACCCCCCCCCCCCCCCCCCCCCCCCCCCCCCCCCCCCCCCCCUUUGUUCAUUGUUUACACGGAUGAAGAGAAGGGCCCUGGGUUAUUUGUUUUUCUUUCCUUCCCCCACCCCCCCCACCCCAACCCCCCCCCUUUUUUUUCUUUCCUCCCUUUUUUCCCGAUAUGUGAUCGCUUUGCAUACAGGACAAAAUGUUUCAGUGUUUUAAAUGCCGAAGUAUUCAAAGCAUUCGCACCCCCAAACCACGCACUGUGCCUCCCCCAGAGAAUGCUUUUUCCACCGAAGUUAGAAAUGUCUAAGAAUAGAACACAGUCGUUUCCCUCUGUACCCCCUGGACCCACAAUGUCCUGAGUUUCUCAUAGCGAUUAAUCUGAGAUCUAUUUUCCCACCACUGUCCUGGAUGUGGGUAUUGAAAUCAUCAUCUGUGCUUUGAAAAAAUAAAAUAAAAUAGUAAUAAUUUAAAAAGAACAAAAUAAACAUUUUGUAAAAAAGAAAAAAAAAGAAGAAAAUGGAAGAAGUGAUAAUUCGGAGCUAAAGCGUGCAGUUCAAAAGCUGAAGCUCCCAUUGGAGAACAGAAAAUUUAAUGAGCUUUUAAUGGAAUGCAAUGCUCGGAGUAGUAAAUUAUUUGUUAGUUGACGAUGCAAUCAGCAUGCUGAUUAAGGUCGCUUGGUUUUUUACCAAACAUUAACUGAAUGAAAGCGGUUAGCCCGCGUUGUUCUGCUUGGGGGGCUCCGGCGAAGCAAAUGGACUUUAAGAACAGCGACUGUCAAUAAAGCUUUAUCUCAGCCCUUCAGAGCAAGAUUGGACUCCUUGAUUCUGACGUGUCCCUUCCAAGUUGGGUAUCCUGUGAUUCUGUGAUUUCUGGGCAGGGAUAGAGGUCUCCUCUUGCCGUUACCUUGAAGGAGCUGCAGGAACCAAAGUUCCUGCAAGGAGAACUUUGGGGACGAGAGGCAUCAGGGAAGCGGAUUUGUUUGUGUGGUGCUGGGGCUUCAGGGCUCGAUAAGAUAGGGAGAAGUGCCCCUUAUUUUUGCGUCCUGCCCCAGACUUUUGCAGUGCUCCCCACAACAGUUACCCAGGCAUUAGCUUUGAAAGAUGCCUAAAACCGUGCCUCCACCCCAGAUGUCGUGAAAUAAUGCACUCUUGCAAUAAAAGGACAGCGCAGCCAAGAAACGAUAACAAACAGCUGAGAAUGCAGUCAAAUUACAAACACACUUCAGUAGGUUGCCUUCCUAAACUUGGGGUUUGGCUUUGCUGCUUUUUGUUUGCAUGUUUGGACUGCUGUGUUGAGGACAUUGGUGAUGCAGCCUCGGCUCAUUUUUUUUCCUUCAAGUUCCAUUCUUGUUGCUUCAUUUCCCUUUAUUUAUGUAUUUAUUUAUUUAUUUAGGUAGAUGAUACCAGAUUUUUCACAGAUUUAUCCCAAACCUUCGUAAAUAUAUUUGUGCUUCUCGUAUUUAUCAAAGUUCCUAUGAACAAUCAAAAUUUCCCUAUAAAUAAAGCAAUGAAAUCACAUACACUCAAGAAGUAACUUCUGGCUUCUUUGUUUUUUCUUAAUUUUGCUUUAUUUUAUUUGGUAAAAUGACAAAGUUUUCCUUUCCUUGCCUUUUUCUCAUUAAUUCUUUCUUUUCCUUUGGACCCUUUCCUUCAUUAUAACCAGUGAUCCAUGGGUAUUAACAUAUAUUCAUUUCUCAGAGUUUCUCUUAAAUUUUAUUUGAGCGAUGAAGAAACAUAAAGAACAAGAUCUUGCUUUUCACCAGCACAAAAGUAUAUUUCCAGAUUGUUUUGUCCAGAUUAUUUUUAGGCUCUUAUUUAAAAUGAUUACGUUUCAACUCAAGACCACAUUAAUUGAUCUAUUAAAAAAUUAUGAGGGACUUUUUUUUUUCUCCUCCAAUUAAACAACAGGUUUUCUGCACAUGAAGAGAUAUCUGAUCAGGCUGUGGUGUUUUUAGGGUUUUUUUUUUUUUUUUUUUUUUUUUCCUUCAAAGCUGUUUCCAUCUAAUGGUGGAGUUUGGGCCCACUGCAUUGGAAAAAGGAUGUAUAUUUGGGAUGGUGUUUGACAGCAGGAGUGAACGCAGACACCAGAACAAUUAUAUUAUAAUCCCAUAGGGAAUGCCAGCACCAAAUUUAGCCAGACUGAUGGGGCACUGUCUAGACGGUCCCUUUUGUGUAUCAUCUGUUUUUUCCCUGCUUUAUUGUCCAGCUUGAAUAUAUGACUGGAACCUGCACAUGGAGCCCAAACACAGCCAUUCCUGCAGCCACACUUUGCUGUAAGAAGUAAAAACAACCAUAGACACACAUACAAAAGUCUGAGCCAAAUGCAUUCUGUAACCACAUCCAUAUAAGAACAGUUAUAAAGCGGAAAAGCAAACAAAACUCUGGUAUUGCACCAAGUGUGCAGGUGUGUGCACAUACGUAGGCGGGCAGACAUAUGGUUUCAGAUAACCAUUCCAUAAUUAAAACUGUCAAAUUCUUAAUUAAAAACUCUCGGUAGAACCAUCACUUUGAUCACUGGUGGGUGCUCUGGAAAUGGUGUCUGGGGCUGGGUGGGAGCGGGGGCUGCUUUGGGGCAGCGCUGUUUUGUAGUAGGGAUGGAGAUGAGGGCAGAAAUGCUGCUGCCUUUUCAUCUGCACCAC